rnacentral:rRNA from 1 species
UAGGGAAUCUUCGGCAAUGGACGAAAGUCUGACCGAGCAACGCCGCGUGAGUGAAGAAGGUUUUCGGAUCGUAAAACUCUGUUGUUAGGGAAGAACAAGGACGUUAGUAACUGAACGUCCCCUGACGGUAUCUAACCAGAAAGCCACGGCUAACUACGUGCCAGCAGCCGCGGUAAUACGUAGGUGGCAAGCGUUGUCCGGAUUUAUUGGGCGUAAAGCGUGCGCAGGCGGUUUCUUAAGUCUGAUGUGAAAGCCCCCGGCUCAACCGGGGAGGGUCAUUUGAAACUGGGAGACUUGAGUGCAGAAGAGGAGGGUGGAAUUCCAUGUGUAGCGGUGAAAUGCGUAGAUAUAUGGAGGAACACCAGUGGCGAAGGCGGCUCUCUGGUCUGUAACUGACGCUGAGGCUCGAAAGCGUGGGGAGCAAACAGG